rnacentral:rRNA from 1 species
AAUAGAUACCCCCGGGUAGUCCACGCCGUAAACGAUGAGUGCUAAGUGUUAGGGGGUUUCCGCCCCUUAGUGCUGCAGCUAACGCAUUAAGCACUCCGCCUGGGGAGUACGGUCGCAAGACUGAAACUCAAAGGAAUUGACGGGGGCCCGCACAAGCGGUGGAGCAUGUGGUUUAAUUCGAAGCAACGCGAAGAACCUUACCAGGUCUUGACAUCCCAUUGACCACUAUGGAGACAUAGUUUUCCCUUCGGGGACAACGGUGACAGGUGGUGCAUGGUUGUCGUCAGCUCGUGUCGUGAGAUGUUGGGUUAAGUCCCGCAACGAGCGCAACCCUUGUUCUUAGUUGCCAUCAUUUAGUUGGGCACUCUAAGGAGACUGCCGGUGACAAACCGGAGGAAGGUGGGGAUGACGUCAAAUCAUCAUGCCCCUUAUGACCUGGGCUACACACGUGCUACAAUGGACGGUACAAACGGUUGCCAACCCGGCAGGGGGGAGCUAAUCCGGAUAAAACCGUUCUCAGUUCGGAUUGUAGGCUGCAACUCGCCUACAUGAAGCCG